rnacentral:rRNA from 1 species
UACAGAGGUCUCAAGCGUUGUUCGGAUUCAUUGGGCGUAAAGGGUGCGUAGGCGGUGGGGCAAGUCAGGUGUGAAAUCCCGGAGCUCAACUCCGGAACUGCACUUGAUACUGCUUUACUAGAGUACUGGAGAGGAGACUGGAAUUUACGGUGUAGCAGUGAAAUGCGUAGAUAUCGUAAGGAAGACCAGUGGCGAAGGCGAGUCUCUGGACAGUUACUGACGCUGAGGCACGAAAGCGUGGGUAGCAAACAGG